AUACGUAGGGUGCAAGCGUUAAUCGGAAUUACUGGGCGUAAAGCGUGCGCAGGCGGUUUUGUAAGACAGUGGUGAAAUCCCCGGGCUCAACCUGGGAACUGCCAUUGUGACUGCAAGGCUGGAGUGCGGCAGAGGGGGAUGGAAUUCCGCGUGUAGCAGUGAAAUGCGUAGAUAUGCGGAGGAACACCGAUGGCGAAGGCAAUCCCCUGGGCCUGCACUGACGCUCAUGCACGAAAGCGUGGGGAGCAAACAGGAUUAGAUACCCUGGUAGUCCACGCCCUAAACGAUGUCAACUGGUUGUUGGGGAUUUAUUUUCUCAGUAACGAAGCUAACGCGUGAGGUUGACCGCCUGGGGAGUACGGCCGCAAGGUUAAAACUCAAAGGAAUUGACGGGG
rnacentral:rRNA from 1 species